AGAUGAUUGCUGGACUUUCUUUCCCUCCACAGUGGUGGCCUUUUCCCCACUCCAUACUGCCCCUUGUCUGCAGUGGAAAUGGUGACGAGUGGAGAACAUUAUCAUAUCUGUGAUGGAUGGAAGGCUGCCCAUAGAGAGACAUGGGGAUCGUGAUGACUGAAAGUUACAAAAUUGGCUGGCAAGAAGUGACAGGUCUACAAGGGAAGGGAAAAACUGAACUUGCUUAGCAAGAGAUGAUGAUAAAGAAGACUAGCUGUGCUAAGAGUCUAUACACUACAGAGUAUAACCAUUGUGUUGUCACCACUGAAGAGGUCCCAAGCCAAUAAUAAUAUACAGUGAUCUUUGGAAUCCCUGCUUUGGUUACCCAUGCCAUCUGAGACCAGACAGAUGUUAACCCAAGAAAGGGUUUCUUCAGUUGUGAUAACAAAAUUCUGGAACUCACUCCCUAGGGAGAUUUAUCUGUCCCCUUCAAUCAUCUUCUUCUGUCAGCAGGUGGAGGGACCUAAUAUACUGCUAUACAACUACAAUCUGCAUCUGGUAUGAAGAGAAAACCACAACUAACAAAGGGGGAAAGUUGAAUUACCCUGUGCUGUCUGGAAUCUCUGCUGCAAUUGCAAAUGGAGCAACUAUUGCAUUGCCAACAUGAUCACUAUGGAAAAUCUCCCCUGCCCCCCAUGUACAACCAACUCCUGUUCUUUUUGACUGUCACUGGAGAAACAUAAUGUCAUCUCAUCAGGCUAUGACAUAUAUUUCUACAGGUUACUGAAGGCAAAGGGCAGAAACUUUUGAUGCAAUUUUUGAAUACAAUCUGUGAAUUUCUGUGUAUAUUUUCCUCAUAAAUAUACACUUAAAAAAAUAAUGGGUGGAGUGGUCAGGGUGUUAAACUAGUGGGAGUGAAUGUUAAUGUAGAAUCAACAGUGCAGCAGAUUCUGUACAGUGUUGAAAAAAAUAACAUCAAUAUUUUCAAAAUAUCUUCAUCUCAUUCCCUCCUCACAUUUCAGGAAAGUACAAUUUUUGCAAGCAGUUUAAUGACCCCCCCCCCUUCCCCACAUCUUCAGCUGACUUUUGCUAACUCUUCCUAAUCCCUCUCUCACACUUAGCCUAUCGACAGCUGUAAAGAUGAGCAUGCCUUCCUGCCCUGCAAACAAGCAGUUAAAAGCAAGAGGUGGUUGGAAGCUGAAUUGGUCCUCAUCAUUGCGUGUACAUGGUCAGGUAGCAAAGGUCAGAAAUGCCACAAAUACCAGACCCUGAAGGGACAGAUUAUGAACAAUGGACAGGCUACCCAUGACACAACCUCGCCUGCUCCACCAAGGGUUGCCUUGGAGACAAACCCUGAGAAGAAGUGAUCUGAUGGGGAAGCAAAGGGAGGAGGGAUGCCUGAAGCAAAGUCCUGUGACACUUCUGCUGUGCCUAAUAGAAGUGCAUGAGGGAGUCUGAACACGUUGAGACUCUGUGCUAUUCCCUAUUAGUGUCCAUGACAUAUUCCAGGGCUGCAGGUGGACAAGACAGAAAUGGAUAGAGAGAGGCAGGUGCUCAUUGGUCAUGUUUGUAGCAAAUAGCCUUGGGCCAAAACAGGAUUUAGAUUAAAUGGAAAGAGAAUAUAUUUUCAUUACCAGAAGAGUAGCAAAGAGGCCUUCGUGGGUUCUGUCUUUGAACUCUCAGCAUCCAGUUUCAUACACAUCCGUGGUUUCACUUAAUUUCAUUGAGCAAAUGAUGCAGUUCUGAAAAAAAGACCCAUUUGUCCAGCCUAUUAAGGACAUUAGCACUUCCUGAAAAGACCUGAUGCCAGUCCCUUUAGUGUACCGGGAAAGCAGGUUGCUGUUAAAAUUGUAAGAAAUGCAAAGAAAUGCAUUUUCAGAUGAUAAAAUGGGUAUAUUUAUUUUAUAACUUGUGUCAGCAACAUGUCUGCACCGUGGCAAAAAUAAACCUUUCCCAUCGAGUCCAGAUGAUGAGCAUAACACAUGAGGGCAAUCUAGAGAUUUUUACAGUGGUGGUUGCAAGCGCUGCUGGCUCACUUGUGACUGCUAUGAGAACCACCCAAAUGGGACGGGACCACUCUUCAGUUGGGGCUAGUGUGUCUCUGGUGUAGGUUUCCCAGGCCAGUUAAUUGCAAGGGAAACUUAAUAAGUGAUGUCAAUUCUCUCUAGAAAUCACUGCAAACUCCAUGGUUUAAUCCUAUGAUUCCAGCCAAUUCCUAAAGGCAUGACAUCACGUUUACAUUUAUCUGGAAAUGACAUCACAUAAGCAAUUGACAGUCAUUUUAAAUUUUUAUUAUUCUCCAGUUGCGGGGAACCUACAUGGGGCUGCCCUUGAAAAGCGUUCAGAAACUUUAAUUGGAACGGACUGAUGUAGUCAGGAUGUUGACUGGAGUGGACCCUCAGGGCCAUAUCUAUACUGGCUCCAAAUUUGCUUCUAGGCAUAAUACAAUGUAUAGGAGUUGACCUUCAAAGCAGUACUUUGAAUGGGACCAACAUACCUGAAGGACUGCCUACUCCUUUAUGAACACGUCUGAUCACUAUGAUCUUGUCUGGGGGCCCUGCUUUGGUGCCCUUGCCUUCUGAGUUUAGGUGGGUGGCAACAUGGAAGAGGGCCUUCUUGGCCAUGACACGAAGUUUAGGAACUGUCUCCCAAGGGUCUGUCACCUUCUGUUGCCAUCUUCCAUAGUAUGUGAUGCCUUUUUUCUUUGCUUUGCCUUCCUUCAGUGGUCCCUCCUUCCUAACCAAGGACCUUGGUGGUCCUUGUGAGGGCAGAAAGAUGGAAUGUAAAUUUUGUAAAUAAACUCUGGUUUGGGUAUCACGGUAGAAGGUGGAGUUAAAUGAGAAAAAAGAUUGUGUUUUUUCUUUGUGUCUUUUGCUUUGUAUACAUGCAAAACUAAAGCAUUCAUAUUUAUAUUUUCAGUGUCCUUUCUGUGAGAAUAACAAUAAUGUAUAAUUUUUAUCAUAUGGGGCCUCUUGAACAACAAAGUUAGGACUUCAUGGCAUAAUGUGGUCCUGAGUCUCCUUGAAACUGUACAUGAGACUUCUUCCCUUUUAGCCUUUGGAAAAUAUGUAAAAGUUAUCUGUUCUGAAAUCCUUUUCACUGAUGAAUACUGGACCAGGGGAUCAAGAACUUUUUUAUUCCUGUUAUCUGAUACAAUGAUAAUGCAGUGAAUUGUGAAAGUAGUCUUGGAGUGAAUGUUAUACAGUAAGUUAUUUGUUAUAUGGUAUAUUAUUUCGCAUUUCAAAAAUGUAGAUUUUUUUUCAGUUUUUAAUUCACUGAGCCUGUAAGAAGGAGUGGAUAUACACAUUUUAAACAAACAAAUAAACAUAAAA